ensembl:lncRNA
ACUGGGUGGCUACUCACAGUCUCCUGAUCGUCCAGACCUGAUUUCUUUUGACAGGCUGAGUGUUGGAUAGAGUGGACUGGACUAUGGACAAGCUGACUUCCCUUACCGUCAGUCGGUGAAUCUAUCAGAACAGCAAAAUCUAUAACAGCUUGAUGUGGACCUGUUUUUGAGAUGGUGAUUGGAGAGCAUUUCCACCAACAUGCAGAGUUUCCAAUAUCUGUCAGCACUGUCUGAUUUUCUAGUAUGUGCAUCUUUCACCACCUAGAUCCCUGCUCACGAUAAGUGACAUGUGGACUUUUAGUGCUUCCUGCACCAUGGACUGUCUCUCCAAGUCACACUGUGAAAUCCUUUCAGAAUUCGGCAGCAUUACUCAUCUCAAUCAUGCCACCAGUCUCUUUGAUGGGAGGCUCACCCGCUUCCUUUAAGAAUAAGGAUGCGAUUUAAAGUUUAACUUCAAACAUUUAGGGCACUUAAGAUGCCAGGUCCAAUUUAUUUAUAGCUUCUGAUCCAUGUCUACUUUCUGCGUGGAGCAUGAACUUCAGAUCGGGAUAACUUCCGUCAGUUCAUUCGCCAUCCCUAUGCACAUG